rnacentral:rRNA from 1 species
GUCCACGCCCUAAACGAUGUCAACUAGGUGUUGGGUGGGUAAACCAUUUAGUACCGGAGCUAACGCGUGAAGUUGACCGCCUGGGGAGUACGGCCGCAAGGUUAAAACUCAAAGGAAUUGACGGGGACCCGCACAAGCGGUGGAUGAUGUGGAUUAAUUCGACGCAACGCGAAAAACCUUACCUACCCUUGACAUGUACGGAAUCCUGAUGAGAGUUGGGAGUGCCCGAAAGGGAGCCGUAACACAGGUGCUGCAUGGCUGUCGU